rnacentral:rRNA from 1 species
GUUAGGAAUAUUGGACAAUGGGCACAAGCCUGAUCCAGCCAUGCCGCGUGAGUGAUGAAGGCCUUCGGGUUGUAAAGCUCUUUAGUCCACGAAUAUAAUGACUGUAGUGGAAGAAUAAGCCCCGGCUAACUUCGUGCCAGCAGCCGCGGUAAUACGAAGGGGGCGAGCGUUAUUCGGAAUCACUGGGCGUAAAGCGUGCGUAGGCUGUUUUGUAAGUCAGAAGUGAAAGCCCAGGGCUUAACCCUGGAAUUGCUUUUGAAACUACAAGACUCGAAUUCGGGAGAGGAUAGCGGAAUUGUCAGUGUAGCAGUGAAAUGCGUAGAUAUUGACAGGAACACCAGUGGCGCAAGCGGCUAUCUGGACCGAUAUUGACGCUGAGGCACGAAAGCGUGGGGAGCAAACAGGAUUAGAAACCCUAGUAGUCC